UGGGGAAUAUUGCGCAAUGGGCGAAAGCCUGACGCAGCGACGCCGCGUGAGGGAUGAAGGCCUUCGGGUUGUAAACCUCUUUCAGCAGGGACGAAGCGAAAGUGACGGUACCUGCAGAAGAAGCACCGGCUAACUACGUGCCAGCAGCCGCGGUAAUACGUAGGGUGCAAGCGUUGUCCGGAUUUAUUGGGCGUAAAGAGCUCGUAGGCGGUUUGUCGCGUCGGAUGUGAAAUCCCAGGGCUCAACCCUGGGCCUGCAUUCGAUACGGGCAGACUAGAGUAUGGCAGGGGAGACUGGAAUUCCUGGUGUAGCGGUGAAAUGCGCAGAUAUCAGGAGGAACACCGGUGGCGAAGGCGGGUCUCUGGGCCAAAACUGACGCUGAGGAGCGAAAGCGUGGGGAGCGAACAG
rnacentral:rRNA from 1 species